GUCUGUGUGGCUUAAUGGAUAAAACGUCUGACUUCGAAUCAGAAAAUUGUAGGUUCGAAUCCUGUCACAGACG